rnacentral:rRNA from 1 species
CCUACGGGUGGCAGCAGUGAGGAAUAUUGGUCAAUGGACGAGAGUCUGAACCAGCCAAGUAGCGUGAAGGAUGACUGCCCUAUGGGUUGUAAACUGCUUUAAUAUGGGAAUAAAAUGUUUCACGUGGGGGAGUGCGUAUGUACCAUAUGAAUAAGGAUCGGCUAAAUCAGUGACAGCAGCAGCGGUAAUACGGAGGAUCCGAGAGUUAUCAGGAUUUAGUGGGUGUAAAGGGAGCGUAGGUGGAUUGUUAAGUGAGUUGUGAAAGUUUGCGGCUCAACCGUAAAAUUGCAGUUGAAACUGGCAGUCUUGAGUACAGUAGAGGUGGGCGGAAUUCGAGGUGUAGCGGUGAAAUGCUUAGAUAUCACGAAGAACUCCGGUUGCGAAGGCAGUUCACUGGACUGCAACUGACACUGAGGCUCGAAAGUGUGGGUAUCAAACAGGAUUAGAUACCCUUGUAGUC